rfam:Glycine max cultivar Williams 82 chromosome 6, whole genome shotgun sequence.
UUCUUAUUAGAUGAUGAUUAUCACGUGUCAUGUUUUGAUUGGUCAAUGAAAAUAAUAAUGCAUUUCAUAUUUUAUGGAGUUGACAUCCAAUCAGAACAUGACACGUAGCAAUCAUUCAAU